UCGAGAAUUUUUCUCAAUGGGGGAAACCCUGAAGGAGCGACGCCGCGUGGAGGAUGAAGGUCUUCGGAUUGUAAACUCCUGUCAUUGGUGAACAAAGCCACAGGUUAACUGCCUUGUGGUAUGCUAGUAGCCGAAGAGGAAGGGACGGCUAACUCUGUGCCAGCAGCCGCGGUAAUACAGAGGUCCCAAGCGUUGUUCGGAUUCAUUGGGCGUAAAGGGUGCGUAGGCGGUGGGGUAAGUUGGAUGUGAAAUCUUGGGGCUUAACCUCAAAAUUGCAUUCAAUACUGCUCCGCUUGAGCGCUGUAGAGGAGAUUGGAAUUUACGGUGUAGCAGUGAAAUGCGUAGAUAUCGUAAGGAACGCCAGUGGCGAAAGCGAAUCUCUGGGCAGCAGCUGACGCUGAGGCACGAAGGCCAGGGGAGCAAACG
rnacentral:rRNA from 1 species